rnacentral:tRNA from 1 species
CAUCCGGAUAUCGAAAUCCGGACCGUGGCCAGCGUUGAGAUUUCAACCUUUCGCAAUGAUGGUGUG